rnacentral:tRNA from 1 species
AAAAAAUUAGUUAACUUUUAUAACAUUAGUUUGUCAAACUAAAAUCAUUAAUAUUUUAAUAUUUUUUA